rnacentral:rRNA from 1 species
GACGAACGCUGGCGGCGUGCUUAACACAUGCAAGUCGAACGAAGAGCGAUGGACGCUUGCUUCUAUCAAUCUUAGUGGCGAACGGGUGAGUAACGCGUAAUCAACCUGCCCUUCAGAGGGGAACAACAGUUGGAAACGACUGCUAAUACCGCAUACGAUCUAAACUCGGCAUCGAGGAUAGAUGAAAGGUGGCCUCUACAUGUAAGCUAUCACUGAAGGAGGGGAUUGCGUCUGAUUAGCUAGUUGGAGGGGUAACGGCCCACCAAGGCGAUGAUCAGUAGCCGGUCUGAGAGGAUGAACGGCCACAUUGGGACUGAGACACGGCCCAGACUCCUACGGGAGGCAGCAGUGGGGAAUCUUCCGCAAGGGACGAAAGUCUGACGGAGCAACGCCGCGGGAGUGAGGACGGCCUUCGGGUUGUAAAGCUCGGUUAAUCGGGACGAAAGGCCUUCUUGCGAAUAGUGAGAAGGAUUGACGGUACCGGAAUAGAAAGCCACGGCUAACUACGUG